UGGCAGGUACAGCGGGGAUGCCAUGGGGCGACCCAGAGCGGAACCCGAAAACCUGUCUCAGUUCGGAUUGGAGUCUGCAACCCGACUCCAUGAAGCUGGAUUCGCUAGUAAUCGCGCAUCAGCCACGGCGCGGUGAAUACGUUCCCGGGCCUUGUACACACCGCCCGUCAAGCCAUGGGAGCCGGGGGGUGCCUGAAGGCCGUGACCGCGAGGAGCGGCCUAGGGUAAAACUGGUGACUGGGACUAAGUCGUAACAAGGUAUC
rnacentral:rRNA from 1 species